AUUGAACGCUGGCGGCAGGCCUAAUACAUGCAAGUCGAACGAGUGGCGGACGGGUGAGUAAUGUCUGGGAAACUGCCCGAUGGAGGGGGAUAACUACUGGAAACGGUAGCUAAUACCGCAUACCAUCAGAUGUGCCCAGAUGGGAUUAGCUGGUUGGUGGGGUACCGGCUCACCAAGUCGGCGAUCCCUAGCUGGACUGAGAGUAUGACCAACAACACGGGAACUGAGACACGGUCCAGACUCCUACGGGAGGCAGCAGUGGGACAUAUUCCGCAGUGGGCGCAAGCCUGAUGCAGCCAUGCCGCGUGUAUGUGGAAGGCCUUCGGGUUGUAAAGUACUAUCAGCGGGGAGGCGUUACCCGCAGAAGAAGCACCGGCUAACUCCGUGCCAGCAGCCGCGGUAAUAC
rnacentral:rRNA from 1 species